AUGGGGAAGGCGAAGGGGAAGCAGAGGCAGGACAAGUACUACCACCUCGCCAAGGAGCAGGGGUACCGGAGCCGAGCGGCCUUCAAGCUACUACAGCUCGACGCGCGGUUCCGGUUCCUGCCGACGGCGCGGGCGGUGCUCGACCUCUGCGCGGCGCCCGGCGGGUGGGUGCAGGUGGCCGUCAACCACGCGCCCGUCGGCGCCUUCGUCGUCGGCGUCGACCUCGUGCCCAUCCGCCCCAUCCGCGGCGCGCACUCCCUCACCGAGGACAUCACCACCUCCAAGUGCCGCUCCGCCGUGCGCAAGCUCAUGGACUCCAAGGGCGUCGCCUCCUUCGACGUCGUCCUCCACGACGGCUCGCCCAACGUCGGCGGCGCCUGGGCGCAGGAGGCCACCACCCAGUCCGCCCUCGUCAUCGACGCCGUCCGCCUCGCCACCAUGUUCCUCGCCCCCAAGGGCGCCUUCAUCACCAAGGUCUUCAGGUCUCAGGAUUACAAUGCUAUCAUGUUCUGUCUUAAGCAGCUGUUUGAGAAGGUUGAGGUGACUAAACCUAGUGCGAGUCGUGGCACAUCCGCCGAAAUUUACAUUAUCUGUCUCAAAUAUAAAGCGCCAGCAAAGAUUGCUCCAGAACUUCUUGACAUAAAGCACCUGUUCAACGUCGAACCCGAGAAGAAGAUGCCUAGGGAUGUACUUGGUACUAAUAAAAAGGACAAAAGACAGCGUGAAGGGUACGAUGAUGGAGUCACAGUAUUGAGGAAAGUUGGUCAGGCAUCAGAUUUUAUUUGGUCUGAUGCUCAGACACCACUGGAAUUUCUUGGUUCUGUUACAGAAAUUUCAUUUGAUGAUGAAGCAUCUGUGCCUAUCAAGAAUCAUGAGUUUACUACAGAUGAGAUAAAAAAUCUUAGUGACGAUUUACGUGUGCUGGAUAAAAACAGCUUCAAGCAUAUCUUGAAGUGGCGCAUACGCAUAAGGAAAGCAUUGUCGUCAUCUUCCCAAGUGACACCUAAGGCUGAUGGUACUGUGGUGGAGACCAAGGUCAACGAUGAUGACCAACUUCUACAGGAAAUGGAAGACCUGACAAGUUUCAUUGAUAGGAAAAAAAGAAGAGAUAAGAAGCGUCAAUCAAGACGUCGUGCAAAGGAUAAAGCACGCAAGGCAACAGGAAUGCAAAUUGAUGCUACAGAAGAGGGAUAUGGUGAUCCUGACUUGUUCUCUAUUAAGGCUAUCAAGGGUGGAAAAGAUCUUCAGGCUGUUGAGUCAGCAGAGUAUAAUGCGGAAGAUGGCUCUGGAAACAGUGAGAAUGAAGCGACUCAAACUCAUGAAGACUCUGAUGAGGAAAUGGAUUCUGAUGAAGAACAGCAGAGGUAUGAUGCUCAACUUGAGGAGAUGCUUGAUGAAGCUUACGAACGUUUUGUGACAAAGAAAGGUGGAGAAGUAAAACAAGAACGCAAACGUGCCAAGAGAAUCAAUACUGAUGCUGAUACAGACCUGUUAGAGGGGGGUGAAGAUGAUGGCAGCGAUGUUGACAUGGACCAAGGUUCCGAGGAAGAGGAAGAUCAAGAGGCCAACCCCCUUUUAUUGUCUUUUGAUUCAGCGAAGCCAACAAAAGAACAGACUACAAAGCAGUGGUUCGGUCAGGAUCUGUUUGCAGAAUUAGGAGCUGACCUAGCUGAGAAGAGUGACAGUGAGGAUGAAAGAGAGAACCCGCGUAAGAAUUUGAAAAAGAAGGUGGAUUCAGGAAAGAAGGAAACCCCGGCUAAAGCACAGCUGGACGCAGGAAAGAAGGAGAAACCGACUAAAGCUCAGCGCCUGCAGCAAGAUGAUAUUGAGAUGGUGGCAGCAGAGCCAGUCCGAGCUGCAGAUGACUCGUCCUCAUCCUCGGACGAGUCAGACGACGAUCUAGACGAGGACAUGGAUGACGACACCAAGGCCGAAGUGCUGGCGUACGCGCACAAGAUGCUGAGGAAGAAGCAGAGGGAGCAGAUCCUGGAUGACGCAUACAACAAGUACAUGUUUGACGACGUGGGCCUGCCCAAGUGGUUUGCCGAGGACGAGAAGAGGCACACCGUGCCCAUGAAGCCGAUAACGAAGGAGGAGGUGGCGGCCAUGAAGGCCCAGUUCAGGGAGAUCGACGCGCGGCCGUCGAAGAAGGUGGCGGAGGCCAAGGCGCGCAAGAAGCGCGUGGCGGCCAAGAAGCUGGAGAAGGCGCGGCAGAAGGCGGACAUCGUGGCGGACCAGAGCGACAUCAACGAGCAGUCCAAGGCCAAGAUGAUCGACAAGAUCUACCGCAAGGCGGUGUCGACGCAGCGGCCCAAGAAGGAGUACGUGGUGGCCAAGAAGGGCGUGCAGGUCCGGACCGGCAAGGGCAAGGUGCUGGUGGACCCCCGGAUGAAGAAGGACAAGCGGAGCGCCGGGUCGGGCAAGAAGGGCGGGAAGGGUGGCAAAGGGGGCGGCAAGGGGAAGAAGGGCGGCGGCGGCAAAGGCGGCGGCGGGCAGAAGAAGGGCGGGAAGGCUGGUGGCGGUGGGAGGAAGGCCGGCGGCGGCAAAGGAGGGCCGCGUUGA
rnacentral:rRNA from 1 species